AUACCAUGGUGUGGGCAUUUUCUUAACAUUGCUUUUAAUCGUUCCCAUGUUUGGUAUACAGAUUCAGAAUCUGUCUGCAUAAAAUUAUUGAUUUCUUGCUUCAUUUU
rnacentral:snoRNA from 1 species